rnacentral:rRNA from 1 species
GAAUAUUGCACAAUGGGGGAAACCCUGAUGCAGCAACGCCGCGUGAAGGAUGAAGGUUUUCGGAUUGUAAACUUCUUUAGUCAGGGACGAAAAAAAUGACGGUACCUGAAGAAUAAGCCACGGCUAACUACGUGCCAGCCGCCGCGGUAAUACGUAGGUGGCAAGCGUUGUCCGGAAUUACUGGGUGUAAAGGGCGUGUAGGCGGGAAUGUAAGUCAGAUGUGAAAUCCCAGGGCUUAACCCUGGAGCUGCAUCUGAAACUAUGUUUCUUGAGUGCCGGAGAGGAAAGCGGAAUUCCUAGUGUAGCGGUGAAAUGCGUAGAUAUUAGGAGGAACACCAGUGGCGAAGGCGGCUUUCUGGACGGUAACUGACGCUGAGGCGCGAAAGCGUGGGGAGCAAACAG